AUUGAACGCUGGCUGCAGGCCUAACACAUGCAAGUCGAACGAGUGGCGGACGGGUGAGUAAUGUCUGGGAAUCUGCCUUAUGGCGGGGGAUAACUACUGGCACCGGUUGCUCAUACCGCAUACCAUCGGAUGUACCCAUAUGGGAUUAGCUUGUUGGUGGGGUAACGGGUCACCAAGGCGACGAUCCCUAGCUGGUCUGAGAGGAUGACCAGCCACACUGGAACUGAGAAACGGUCCAGACUCCUACGGGAGGAAGCAGUGGGGAAGAUUGCACAAUGGGCGCAAGCCUGAUGCAGCCAUGCCGCGUGUAUGAAGAAGGCCUUAGGGUUGUAAAGGACUUUCAGCGGGGAGGCGUUACCCGCAGAAGAAGCACCGGCUAACUCCGUGCCAGCAGCCGCGGUAAUAC
rnacentral:rRNA from 1 species